CUGGAUAUGACCACAGUUUCAUUCACAUUAAGGCAAUAUUCAGGUACAGUUUUAUAAUAAAUCCAACUGUAUUAUAAACACAAACUACCUCUGGACUGCCAACAUGGAGAGACAUAUGCUGCUCAUGAUUCUCAUUGUAGUUACAGGUGGAUUUGCUGACAGAAUUGGACCAAGAGAAGGAAAUACUAAUAUAAUGAAGGGAGAAGGAGAGUCUGUGACACUGAGCUGUUCAUAUGAUACAAGCAGCAAUUAUGUUUAUCUUUACUGGUACAGACAGUAUCCAAAAGGAGAACCUCAGUAUUUACUGCUCAAAGGUGCUCGAUCAGAGAGUUAUGAGGAUAUAUCAGACCGUCGGUUUCGGUCAACAACAUCCCAAUCAUCCACUGAACUCAUUAUUGAUAAAGCAGCUCUGUCAGAUUCAGCUCUCUAUUAUUGUGCUCUAAGAGUAGUUGCCCAGUGAUACAAAAUGCCUGAGAAGCUUUACAAAAACUCAAAUACACAAUGUGCUUUAAACAGUCUUUAAUCUAACAGCAUCAAACCACAAUUUAUUAUUUUUUUGUAAACCACAGCUCUGGAAAUACCACUGUGGCAACACCUGUGAAUAUGGGAGAUUAUGAAAGGUUAUAUAUGGGGCAUGUGAAACUAUCAUUAACUAUUUGUUUUUCUAAAAAUUAAAUCAUUCAGUAAACAAAAGGAAUGGAAUUUGUUAACCUAAUAAUUGAACAAAAACUAACAUACAAACAAGAAAACAAAUAAAAAUGCAUUUAUUCUGAAGUAGUUCUCUGUUCAUUAUCUUCUAUAGAUCGAGAGGAUCUGCAGUCGUCAUGUAUAAUGGGAAGAGGAGGAGUUUAACACAGACAUUAGCGCACAAAUCUACUGUAGGUAACAAUCCAGUAGCUGGUCUUUGUUUAGCUUGUUCCUGGCAGUUUGUUGAGUGAACAUGUUCAUCUAUAUUAUGAUACUGAUGUCAGCAACUGAAGGUAUAAUAUUGCAAUUUUUUAGAAAAAUAUCACAUUGUUGGUUAGGUCCACCUCUUCAGGUUUCCUCAACCUUGUUGUUGUGAACUUAUAGCAACAAUAAAACUGUAUGGUGCCAAAAAAUCUUUCUUUA